rnacentral:rRNA from 1 species
CAGUCGCCGCGGGAAUACAGAGGGUGCAAGCGUUAAUCGGAUUUACUGGGCGUAAAGCGUGCGUAGGCGGCUUUUUAAGUCGGAUGUGAAAUCCCUGAGCUUAACUUAGGAAUUGCAUUCGAUACUGGGAAGCUAGAGUAUGGGAGAGGAUGGUAGAAUUCCAGGUGUAGCGGUGAAAUGCGUAGAGAUCUGGAGGAAUACCGGUGGCGAAGGCGGCCCCCUGGACAAAGACUGACGCUCAGGUGCGAAAGCGUGGGGAGCAAACAGGAUUAGAUACCCCCGUAGUCCCUGUCUCUUAUAC